rnacentral:misc_RNA from 1 species
GAAAUGCGAUAAGUAAUGUGAAUUGCAGAAUUCAGUGAAUCAUCGAAUCUUUGAACGCACAUUGCGCCUAUUAGUAUUCUGGCGGGCAUGCCUGUUCGAGCGUCAUUUCAACCAUCAAGCCCCGCGCUUGUGUUGGGGACCUGCGGCUGCCGCAGGCCCUGAAAACCAGUGGCGGGCUCGCUGUCACACCGGGCGUAGUAGAUUUUAUCUCGCUCAGGGCGUGCUGCGGGUUCCGGCCGUUAAAAAGCCUUUUUUACCCAAGGUUGACCUCGGAUCAGGUAGGAAGACCCGCUGAACUUAAGC